UCCAGACUCCUACGGGAGGCAGCAGUGGGGGAUAUUGCACAAUGGGGGAAACCCUGAUGCAGCAACGCCGCGUGAGUGAAGAAGUAUUUCGGUAUGUAAAGCUCUAUCAGCAGGGAAGAGAAUGACGGUACCUGACUAAGAAGCCCCGGCUAACUACGUGCCAGCAGCCGCGGUAAUACGUAGGGGGCGAGCGUUAUCCGGAUUUACUGGGUGUAAAGGGAGCGUAGACGGCUGGUCAAGUCUGAAGUGAAAGCCCGGGGCUUAACCCCGGAACGGCUUUGGAAACUGAGCAGCUAGAGUGCUGGAGAGGUAAGCGGAAUUCCUAGUGUAGCGGUGAAAUGCGUAGAUAUUAGGAGGAACACCAGUGGCGAAGGCGGCUUACUGGACAGUAACUGACGUUGAGGCUCGAAAGCGUGGGGAGCAAACAGGAUUAGAUACCCCCGUAA
rnacentral:rRNA from 1 species